CUACGUGCCAGCAGCCGCGGUAAUACGUAGGUGGCAAGCGUUGUCCGGAAUUAUUGGGCGUAAAGAGCUUGUAGGCGGUUUGUCGCGUCUGCUGUGAAAGGCCGGGGCUUAACUCCGUGUAUUGCAGUGGGUACGGGCAGACUAGAGUGCAGUAGGGGAGACUGGAAUUCCUGGUGUAGCGGUGGAAUGCGCAGAUAUCAGGAGGAACACCGAUGGCGAAGGCAGGUCUCUGGGCUGUAACUGACGCUGAGAAGCGAAAGCAUGGGGAGCGAACAGGAUUAGAUACCCUGGUAGUCCAUGCCGUAAACGUUGGGCACUAGGUGUGGGGGACAUUCCACGUUUUCCGCGCCGUAGCUAACGCAUUAAGUGCCCCGCCUGGGGAGUACGGCCGCAAGGCUAAAACUCAAAGAAAUUGACGGGGGCCCGCACAAGCGGCGGAGCAUGCGGAUUAAUUCGAUGCAACGCGAAGAACCUUACCAAGGCUU
rnacentral:rRNA from 1 species